ACCUAAAAUUGCAUCCGCAACGGAGGCUCCUUAACCUAUGAAGCCGCCUUGCUUGGCCAAAAAACCCACCUAAAAUUCCUUCUUGCCUCUUCAAAUCUAUGGAAAGAUCAAGGAUUUUCACGGCCCUUGCGUCUGCGCCUAUGGGGAAUGGGUAUGAAACCAAGGUUGUUAAGAAAAUUAGUGAAGGUAUACUCGAUGGAUUGAGUAUGAAAAAAAUGAAUUUGAUAAUGCUUUCCAUGAUUGGGAUGAAUGGAAUAGGAGGGGUAGGAAAGAUUUUCGUUACUAAAGCCAUUUACAAUUUCCUUAGUUUUCUUACAAAUGUUAGAGAGGUUUUUUUAGAUAAGAUCUAAUCUAAAAAGGUUUUUGUUGUUCUCGAUGAUGUGGAUGACUUGAACCUAUUAGAGUUUUUAGCUGGAAAUCAUGAUUGGUUUAAAGUAUUACCGUUAUGAUUUAAGAUAAACAAAUAAAACCUCUUGAAACAUUUAUAGGUAAAGGCCUUCCAUUAGCUCUUAAAAUGUUAGGUUAUUACCUAUUUAAUAAAAUAAAUCUGAAUUUUUUAAAUUAAAAAGAAAACUUAAUAGGAAAAUUCAAAAUGUGCUUUAGUAAGUACUAAUGGAUUAGAUGAUGCUGAAAAUGAGAUAUUCCUUGACAUUGCAUGCUUUUUUUAAAAAGAGAGAUAUUCCUUGAUAUUGCAUGUUUUUUCAAAGGAUGAGAUAUUCCUUGACAUUGCAUGCUUUUUCAAAGGGAUGACUGUUGGUUACAUGCAAAGAUUGGAAUAAGUAUUCUCAAUGAUAAGUGUCUCAUAACUAUUUUAAUUAUAUGAAUGAUCCAUUAGUUAUAAUACAUGAGUCACAACAAAUGGGUAAGGAAAUUUUUUGCAAAAAAUCUUAGAAAGCCUGGCAAGUUGUGCAUUGAUUUAUUCCAACAAAUGGGUAAGGAAAUUUUUUUUGUAAAAAUAUCCUAGAAAGCCUAGCAAGUUGUGCAUUGAUUUAUUCCAACAAAUAUGUUGGAAAUUUGUUUGCAAAUAGAGGAAAUUGUGGGAUCUUGAAAGCGUCCAUUAUGGGUCGACAACAAAAAAAUGCCUUGAAGAGCCUAGCAAAUGCAGCAAAUAGUGGAAUCUGAAAAUCUGAAGAUGUCCCUUCAUCAUGGGUUGAUUGAAAAUGCUGUGCAAAUGAAGCAAAUUUUGGGAUUUUGAAAAUUUGAAGAUGUCCAUCAUGGGAUGGCAAAAAUGCAAGAAGAGCAAGAGUUCAUCAUCAUAUUUGACAUUUUCCCAAAGAUGGUGCUAUCAAAACCACCUAGGUACAGUGUGUGAAGGAACUUGAUUUGAUUAUUGGUGCUCAUUGUGAAGGAAAUGAAAUGUAAUGUGUAAUUUUUCUAAUGUUAUCGUAUAGAGAAACGAUCUUGUUAAAUGGAUAUACUUUAACUUGUCGCAUUUA